rnacentral:rRNA from 1 species
GACGAACGCUGGCGGUGUGCUUAACACAUGCAAGUCGAACGGUAAGGCCCUUUCGGGGGUACACGAGUGGCGAACGGGUGAGUAACACGUGAGUAACCUGCCCUCAUCUCUGGGAUAACAGUCGGAAACGGUUGCUAAUACUGUAUAUGAGCUUGCAAGGCAUCUUGUGGGUUGGAAAGAUUUUUUUUGGUUGGGGAUGGACUCGCGGCCUAUCAGCUUGUUGGUGAGGUAGUGGCUCACCAAGGCUUCGACGGGUAGCCGGCCUGAGAGGGCGACCGGCCACAUUGGGACUGAGAGACGGCCCAAACUCCUACGGGAGGCAGCAGUGGGGAAUAUUGCACAAUGGACGGAAGUCUGAUGCAGCAACGCCGCGUGCGGGAUGACGGCCUUCGGGUUGUAAACCGCUUUCAAUUGUGACGAAGCUUUUUUGUGACGGUAGCAGUAGAAGAAGCACCGGCUAACUACGUG